rnacentral:lncRNA from 1 species
AUCAAUAUGAAGCAGCGUAAGGAAUGGCUUAGCCCCGGUGUUUGUGUAUGUGUGUGUGUGUAUCGCGUGAUCCCCUGAUCGAUCAGACUACGAGAUGUUGUUAUACAUCACUAUUCACUAUGCACUUUAGAUUGAUUUAGCUGGCUAUUUGAGCAGGCCAACAUUCCUCCUGGGCAGAUAACUUGUCCGCCACAGUGUUGCCCAUUUGCGACUGAAUUGACUGGAAUAAUGUGAAAUGAAAUGCUUUGCUCAAGAACGCAAUGAGCAACCGUUCUGAGAAUCGAAACCACGAUCUUAUGACCAUGAGUGCAUCACACUUAACCACUAAUCCACGCGCCUUUACACACGCGCACACCCACCCACACACACAUAGAUACCAUACACAUACAUAUACAUAUAUAUAUACAUAUACAUAUAUAUAUACAUAUAUACGCUUAAAAAUACUUACAUAAAUACAUACAUACACAUAUAUAUGCAUACAUACAUACAUAUGUAUAUAUACAUAUACAAACGCAAAUUUCACACACGUAUUCACUUAGAUAUGUAAAAGGUCGAAUCAAAUUAUCCAUAAUCUCGUACAUAUUGCUUUUUUGAUCGUGGAUCAUUCAUUUCGAGUUUUUACAUGUGUAAGUGAAUACGUAUGCAAAUUUUAUCGUGAUUUAAAACUGUUGGACGUAAUUUUCAUUUAGGUCACAGAAAUGCUAUUGGUAUUGAAUACACAUUUAUAGAUGAUGCCUUCAGCUAUGUAGCUCCUAUUGACUAGAUUGUUGAAAGAGCUGUGUCUCUUAGUAGAUUUGAUAGCGUUUGUGGUGUAUGGGUAAAAUUACAUUCUACUCAAAUUCAACGAUAGUGUAAUAAUAAAAUUUCUUAGAUUUUAGUUAAGCAGUUUUUAAAUGCAAGAAGUCAAUAUGAGCGAUUUAUAACCCGCUUUAUUAGUUUGUUCUUAAGCUAUGGGAUCCAAGUUCGUUUCGAAACUGCGUAUCAGUGAGCAUGCCUCAGUUCAGACUAAAUAUUUGAAUUAAACCUUGUGAUACGAAAACUAUGCUCUUUGUGUCUGUAGAUGAAAGAGCUAGCCUAGUAAUACAUAAUGUCAUGGUUGGAAAUACCUUGUGUAUAAGCCGCUUUACAACAUAGUGAGUAUCUGGUACCAUUGAUCGAACGAAUGAAAUACUCAUUUGUCGAAAAUGACGCGAGAUCCAUUGAUUUAUUAUGGAGUUCACCAAAGUUUGUUAUGUAACGAUUAUAACCACGCGAUCUUGUUUUGGGAGUUGAAUUUCAAUGUUUAUAUAUAUUCAGUUCUAAUUUUCUUUCUAUCUUCUAUUAUAAGUAAAAUUCUGUUUUCAGCGUACUUUAUUGCUUAUUUCUUUAUAUAACUAUAUACUGCAGUGUCUUCUUUCUAUAUUUUUCAGGAAGAAUGGCUCCGUUUAAAUAAAGUAAAAGUUUACUAGUUUCGCUUGAAGCUGUUAGUCUAUGAAACAGACCUGAAAUGACGAUCUUUAGUUAACGUUCACUACACAAUGUCAGCAAUAAAACUGAGAAAAAAACCCAACAAAGUCAACAGUUAUGAAAAAAAAUGUGGCUCUAUGAAGAAAAUAAUUCUCAAUUCAAGCGAUGAGAGAAAAUUGACUACUGUAACUCCUUGUGACAGAAGUCACUCCAUCGCAAACUUAUUUUUGAUUUCCUCUAAGAACAAUGCACAAAAUACUUUAAAACAGACUUUUAGAAAGCCCACGCCACCGUAUCUUCAGAGUUUUGUUGUGCAAAUUUUGCCCCAAGAUGUAGCCAUUUUGAAAAGUAAAUAGUGAUUAGAAUAUAUGUUUUUGAAUUGUAACAUUGAAGAGACUUCAGUUUUUUUAUAUUUUCCGGAAAUAAGUGAGAUAUUUUGCUUGUGAUGUCGACUG